AGCAAAAUGACGCUAUUUUUGUUUCAUCCAUUUCACCCCAAUACAAUCCCGAAACCCUUAUUUUCCCCUAAAUCAAAAUUUCCCCUAAACCCCAAAUUUUCCCCAAAUCAAACCCAUUUGCCGUCUCCCUUUCUCUUUUGGUUCGACAGCAAGCAGAAAGAUUAAGGGAUUUCAUUUCGAAAUCAAAACCCGACUGAAGGCUAGCUUUUGCGAGUCCAACAAAUCAAGUUGGUCAAGAAUUUUGGAUUUACGUUUGCUGCAUCGCCUUCGGUAGUCUUUCACAUCCUCGUCGGCAGCCUUCUGCUACAUUUUCGUCGGUAUCCCUCUUCUACAUCUCCGUCGGCAUUCCUCUGUUGCUUCUCCAGUUUUCUGUCAUCCAAUUUGCUUAGCUUCAAUCCACAUUGACUUAGAAAAAUGCGUAGAAGAAGAUUACGAGAUUUAAGUAUUGUCCAGAAUACUCAAAAUUCGGAAGAAAUAAAUAGUGAACAGCAGAAAGUUGUUGGAUCUUCGAAUGUGCUGGAGACACUUGACGAGCCUAGAGAAUUUCAAAGUAAUCUGAAAGUGGUGCGACGCGCAGAGGUCGAGGACGUACGAUGCUUAAAGAUUUAUACGACUUAGAUCCUGUUGAGCGUGUCAAAGUAAGUAGAAACAGUCAUGGUCAGCUUGUUGGAUCUGAAGCUCGACUUUUAGCAAGCUAUUUGGGCAUUUUAGCACGAAAUGCCAAUAUGUUGCCCAUCAACUAUGAAUCAUGACAUCACAUGCCUGAUAGCAACAAAAAUCAGGCUCUCGCUAAUAUUAAUGUAGACACUCAAUUUUGCCCGGGCCCAGAAAUAAGUCCAAAAACAAAAAUAAUAAACCCCAAAAAAAACGAAGUCCAAAGUUCAGUCCAGAAUUACAAAUAUAAUUUGGCCCGAUCGGAAUGGCCCAUUACUUGAAAAGAUUUAGGGUCCAUCUACAAGCUUGACUCAUAUGAAAAUAUAAUCUUCAAUGAUAUGCAAUCUUAGAUAUGAUACAAUCUUAGAUAUGAUUGCAAUCUUAAAUAUGAUACAAUCUUAGAUAUGAUUGUAAUUUUAGAUAUGAUAUACAAUCUUAGAAGAUAUGAUUUUGUAAUCUUGGAGAUUUAAUUUGUAGAUAUCCUUUACUCUUAACCGUUGAUGUAAUUGAUCUGUACCGUUGGAUUUGGGGAGGCUCAACUAUAAAUAGAGGCUUUUCCCUUCAUUGUAAAAGACACUUGAGUUUUGGGAAAUAAUAAGAAUUCUUGAGAGCAUUCAUUCAAA